UCAUCACAGGUGCUCUUCCCAGCUGUCCUCCUCCCAUCAUCACAGGUGCUCUUCCCAGCUGUCCUCCUCCCAUCAUCACAGGUGCUCUUCCCAGCUGUCCUCCUCCCAUCAUCACAGGUGCUCUUCCCAGCUGUCCUCCUCCCAUCAUCACAGGUGCUCUUCCCAGCUGUCCUCCUCCCAUCAUCACAGGUGCUCUUCCCA